rnacentral:rRNA from 1 species
GACGAACGCUGGCGGCGUGCCUAAUACAUGCAAGUAGAACGCUGAAGAGAGGAGCUUGCUCUUCUUGGAUGAGUUGCGAACGGGUGAGUAACGCGUAGGUAACCUGCCUUGUAGCGGGGGAUAACUAUUGGAAACGAUAGCUAAUACCGCAUAACAAUGGAUGACACAUGUCAUUUAUUUGAAAGGGGCAAUUGCUCCACUACAAGAUGGACCUGCGUUGUAUUAGCUAGUAGGUGAGGUAACGGCUCACCUAGGCGACGAUACAUAGCCGACCUGAGAGGGUGAUCGGCCACACUGGGACUGAGACACGGCCCAGACUCCUACGGGAGGCAGCAGUAGGGAAUCUUCGGCAAUGGGGGCAACCCUGACCGAGCAACGCCGCGUGAGUGAAGAAGGUUUUCGGAUCGUAAAGCUCUGUUGUAAGUCAAGAACGAGUGUGAGAGUGGAAAGUUCACACUGUGACGGUAGCUUACCAGAAAGGGACGGCUAACUACGUGCCAGCAGCCGCGGUAAUACGUAGGUCCCGAGCGUUGUCCGGAUUUAUUGGGCGUAAAGCGAGCGCAGGCGGUUUGAUAAGUCUGAAGUUAAAGGCUGUGGCUCAACCAUAGUUCGCUUUGGAAACUGUCAAACUUGAGUGCAGAAGGGGAGAGUGGAAUUCCAUGUGUAGCGGUGAAAUGCGUAGAUAUAUGGAGGAACACCGGUGGCGAAAGCGGCUCUCUGGUCUGUAACUGACGCUGAGGCUCGAAAGCGUGGGGAGCGAACAGGAUUAGAUACCCUGGUAGUCCACGCCGUAAACGAUGAGUGCUAGGUGUUGGAUCCUUUCCGGGAUUCAGUGCCGCAGCUAACGCAUUAAGCACUCCGCCUGGGGAGUACGACCGCAAGGUUGAAACUCAAAGGAAUUGACGGGGGCCCGCACAAGCGGUGGAGCAUGUGGUUUAAUUCGAAGCAACGCGAAGAACCUUACCAGGUCUUGACAUCCCGAUGCUAUUUCUAGAGAUAGAAAGUUACUUCGGUACAUCGGUGACAGGUGGUGCAUGGUUGUCGUCAGCUCGUGUCGUGAGAUGUUGGGUUAAGUCCCGCAACGAGCGCAACCCCUAUUGUUAGUUGCCAUCAUUCAGUUGGGCACUCUAGCGAGACUGCCGGUAAUAAACCGGAGGAAGGUGGGGAUGACGUCAAAUCAUCAUGCCCCUUAUGACCUGGGCUACACACGUGCUACAAUGGUUGGUACAACGAGUUGCGAGUCGGUGACGGCAAGCUAAUCUCUUAAAGCCAAUCUCAGUUCGGAUUGUAGGCUGCAACUCGCCUACAUGAAGUCGGAAUCGCUAGUAAUCGCGGAUCAGCACGCUGCGGUGAAUACGUUCCCGGGCCU